rnacentral:rRNA from 1 species
AUAACUAUUGGAAACGAUAGCUAAUACCGCAUAACAGCAUUUAACCCAUGUUAGAUGCUUGAAAGGAGCAAUUGCUUCACUAGUAGAUGGACCUGCGUUGUAUUAGCUAGUUGGUGAGGUAACGGCUCACCAAGGCGANGAUACAUAGCCGACCUGAGAGGGUGAUCGGCCACACUGGGACUGAGACACGGCCCAGACUCCUACGGGAGGCAGCAGUAGGGAAUCUUCGGCAAUGGGGGCAACCCUGACCGAGCAACGCCGCGUGAGUGAAGA